UAAUUUCACAGAGAGCCAAGAAAACCCAGG
rnacentral:piRNA from 1 species